CAAUACUAGUAUUGCAAGCUGCUGAGCAUUUUCAUCCUUCUUGAGGUAUUAUAAGUUCACUCUUUAUGGCUUCUUUACUCAUGAGACUCCCCAACACAAUAGGCAUCCAUUCUAGACCCACAGCGGAAUAAACAAUACAGUCAGGGAAUAAAGGCUGCUAAAUAUGUUUCACACUAGCUGCUUUAUUUCCUUUAAAAUAUUCUAAACUCCUUUUAAGUGUUAAUUGUGUAUGCACAAGAGCCCUCAGUAGAACAGCAUACUUUGGCAGAUUUGUGGAUCCUGUUAUGUCAAUGACUUCCAUUUUAAGGUCAGAACUGCUUCCUGUUGGAAAAAUAUUUGGGCUAAUUCUAAUAAAAUUAAAGUUGGCAGCAGACCAUUAAAAAUUGUCAAGUUAAUGUGAAAAUAACUUUUCUAGGAAAAUUAUGGUAAAACUUUACAUAUUGCCAAUAUAGAAAAAAAGUUGAACAUACAGAAUAGUCAGAAAUGAGUUGGUAUGCAUAAGCUAAAGGUUAUUUCAACCAGCUAAAGGUUAACUGCAUAAAAAUGGGAAAUCUGUAGAAGGUUUUUGUUGUUGUUGUUGUUUUUCCCUUUCCAACAGUGGUAUCUUUAGCUAGAGUCUGCGUGAUUUUUAUUCUUUAUAUACUCUUUUAUAAUGGAAUAAUGAAAUAUCUGUCUUACUGUAUUUCUAGCAAGUAUAGGUAGUCUGUGGGCCCAUAAAUCAGAUAGUCUUGAAUUUUGAAUUGAAGAAUUAUUUUGCAGAAUGCUUUGUAGUAUGAAUUUGAUGCAGUCAUAUUCCUAAUCACCUUUUUAAUAGAUGAACCAUCAAGACAUUCCUCUCAUUUUUUUGUUUCUAACUUAGCUUGGCCUAAGUUGUAACUUUUAUUUCAGUUAUUUUAAAAAUUAUUUUUGUUCCAGUUACAAAGGCCCUGUGUAUACUUUAUAAGCAAGCUACCCAAGGUAACUGUUAUUAACUUAUGUAUAUUCAUACACAUAAACAAAAUGUAUAUAUAAACAUAUAUUUGUAAACAUCUGUAUGUGGACACCAUGAUAUAUUCAUUUAUUUUUUACAAAUUGAUUUUUACAUCUAGAUUCACAGAAAUACUGUUCUGCCACUUAAUUUCUUCUUUAAUGGGCCCAUGGUAUUUUAAGGACAUUCUAUAGUAUAUUUAACCAGUUUCUGCUAUUCUUAGGUUAUAACAUGAACAUCAUUGCCUGGUGGAGUAUUUCGGUAGAAUGUACUCCUAGCAGUAACAUUAUGGAAAUAUAAGAGUAUACACAUUAAAUAUUGCCAGGCUGUGUAGAGGGGACCUGAGAAACAGUUUAGUUUUAUUCCCAGUCUUCAUUUGUUACAUGAUAUGCUGAGGCCUUAUUGCACUAAUAUAAUGCUCCAUCAGACAAGUAGGUGUUCCUGUCAACUAGUCAAUGCAAAUAUUCCCUCUUUUAAGUUGUCUUUCAACUGCUAUGGACUAUAGUCAUAACAAAUGCUAACCGGUGGAAUUGGGAGUUUUCCCUCCCCAAGAAAAGCAACUAGUAUUGAUAAUUUAAGAAGAACAAGCAAUCUCUGAUAUAAGGAUUUAUAUGAAAGAGUAUUGCUUCCUGAUCUUUCAAGCUUACAUAUAUGUGUGUGUUCUGUUCUCUAAAUUCUCCAACCCUGCACCCACAAACUCUCUCAGGCUUUGUAGACUGAAUAUUACUUUAUAAGUUUAGAUCCAGUGGGAUCAAACAAGUUUAGAAACCCAGUAUCGGUUGCAGUUUCACAGAAAACUUGUUUUAUUCCUGAUCAAGGAUGCCUGUAUUAAAACACAUUACCUCAGUAAGAAAAAUGGCAUUCUUAAACAUACCCAGAAUAUUCUGUUUGAUUUAGGAUAAUGUUUUUUAACCCUGACUUCAUAUUAGGAUCCACUUGGAAGUCUUUCAAAAACACAGAUGCUCACCACUAUGCCCUGGUAGUGGGAAUUGGUUUGUCUGAGGCAUAGCUGGGGCAUAUUAUUAUGCUAAAUAAAAGUUGGCCAAGUAUAGGAAACUGUCUUUAAAUGAUUGUGGUGUAGUUUGUUUAAUUUUUUUAAACUUUUAAGGAAGGCAAAGAAAGGUAUGGGAAAUUGCCAUCGAACUAUGUUCCUUAGAAAGUGGGAAAGUGAUCGUUUAAUAAUGAUUGAUAAUCUUUUCAUUUUGGGGCUAGAUAGUAAAUAUUUUAGGUUCUUUGAGCCAUACACAGUCUCUAGAGCUUAAUCUUUGUUUUCCUUUUUGUCAGCCCUUUAAAAAUGUAAGUCUUUCUUAGUUAGAGGGCUAUCCAAAAAUGGGUGGUGGGCCAGAUUUGACCCAUGGGCCAUGAUUUGCCAACCCCUAAUCUGAGCAUUUAUCACUUCUUUUCCCCAUGAAACAGGUGUUUGAUGAUAAAAGUAUCUAAUUUUUUUGUUUGUUUUGUCAUAGUUAAUUCAUCUGCUUACACUAUUUACAUGGGAAAGGAU
rnacentral:lncRNA from 1 species